rnacentral:rRNA from 1 species
CACGUAGGGCGCAAGCGUUGUCCGGAAUUAUUGGGCGUAAAGAGCUCGUAGGCGGUCUGUUGCGUCCGCUGUGAAAACUCGGGGCUUAACCCCGAGCCUGCAGUGGAUACGGGCAGACUAGAGGUAGGUAGGGGAGAAUGGAAUUCCCGGUGUAGCGGUGAAAUGCGCAGAUAUCGGGAGGAACACCGGUGGCGAAGGCGGCUCUCUGGGCCUGUCCUGACGCUCAUGCGCGAAAGCUAGGGGAGCAAACAGG